rnacentral:misc_RNA from 1 species
AAAUUCUCAAAGUAAAUCUUUUGGUUAAUUCAAUUGGUUUACUUUGGAUUUGGAGGCUUUGCGGAUUUUACAAUCUGCUCCUCUUGAAUACAUUAGCUGGAUCUCAGUAUAUACUUGGUUCCACUCGGUGUGAUAAGUAUCACUCGCCGAGGACACCACCCGUAAAAAGGUGUGGCCAAAGGGGUACAGACGAACCAGCUUCUAAUAGUCUAUUGAAUUAGACAAUUAAUUUAAAG